CGACUAAGGCCCCUAAGCCGUACGCUAAGUGGGAAACGGAUGUGGAGUCGCACAGACAACCAGGAGGUUGGCUUAGAAGCAGCCACCCUUGAAAGAGUGCGUAAUAGCUCACUGGUCUAGUGAUUCCGCGCCGACAAUGCAGCGGGGCUCAAGCGUACCGCCGAAGUCGUGUCAUUGCGAUAUAUACCCCCAAGGGAUCGUGAUGGGUAGGGGA
rnacentral:ncRNA from 1 species